rnacentral:rRNA from 1 species
CGACCUCAGAUCAGGUGGGACUCCCCGCCGAAUUUAAGCAUAUUAGUAAGCGGAGGAAAAGAAACUAACGAGGAUUCCCUUAGUAGCUGCGAGCGAACAGGGAGAAGCCCAGCACUGAAUCCUGAGGGCCUCGCCCUUUGGGAAAUGUAGUGUUUGGGAGGGUUCAGACACCCGAUACCGUCGCACCGCGUCCAAGUCCAUCUUGAAAGAGGCCACGGUCCCGAGAGGGUGCCAGGCCCGUGGUAGGCCGGUGCAGGUGUAGGGCGGACCUCUCCUCAGAGUCAGGUUGCUUGAGAGUGCAGCCCUAAGCGGGUGGUAAACUCCAUCUAAGGCUAAAUACAACCACGAGACCGAUAGCGAACAAGUACCGUGAGGGAAAGUUGAAAAGAACUUUGAAGAGAGAGUUCAAGAGUACGUGAAACCGCUCAGGGGUAAACGGAAAAGACCCGAAAUUUCCGAAGAGGGAGAUUCACGUCUUCUCGCGGCCCCUACUCAGCCGUUCUCUCGACAACACUGCGUGCCACUCGAUUUCGACGUGUGUAUCGUGAGGUUGCAGAGGACGGCGUGUAGGACCGCGGCGGACCGCACUUCUCCCUUAGUAGGACGUCGUGACCCGUCCGGUCAUGGUCAUACGGUUCCAGGGUGGAGCCUGUCCUCGGCAUCUCCGAUGUCUUUGGGCAGACCCCGGGAUCCCGGCCAUGCAUUACCGGUCGGUAUCGAAUGACAGUGUUCGGCCGCUUUACGGCGGGGGUGACCCCGUUUAUAGAGCGCGAGAGCCUUGUUACAAGGUGCCAAGAUGUCAGUCGAAGCGGGCACACGUCCGCCUGGCUGCUCUCGGCCCUGUUGGUUCUGAGGUUUCUCGUUAGGCCGAAAGCACUUGUCUACGGCGAACCAGUUUUGGGCUCUUGUCCGACCCGUCUUGAAACACGGACCAAGGAGUUCAGCGUGUACGCGAGUCAUUGGGUGGUAAAACCUAAAGGCGUAAUGAAAGUGAAGGAAACUUCAAGUUUCUGAGGGAGGAUGAGCCGGUCACCCGCAAGGGGCCGCUCCGCACUCCCGGGGCGUCUCUUCCUCAUCACGAGUGGAGGCGCACCCAGAGCGUACACGCUGAUACCCGAAAGAUGGUGAACUAUGCCUGGCGAGGACGAAGCCAGGGGAAACCCUGGUGGAGGUCCGCAGCGAUUCUGACGUGCAAAUCGAUCGUCGGAGCUGGGUAUAGGGGCGAAAGACCAAUCGAACCAUCUAGUAGCUGGUUCCCUCCGAAGUUUCCCUCAGGAUAGCUUGCGCUUAUGUGAAAGAGUCUCAUCCGGUAGAGCGAAUGAUUAGAGGCCUUGGGGUCGAAACGACCUCAACCUAUUCUCAAACUCCAAAUAGAUGAGAACUCCGGCUUACUUGAAACCUUUCAUGAAGCCGGGGGCUUUGGAUCAGAGUGCCAAGUGGGCCAAUUUUGGUAAGCAGAACUGGCGCUGUGGGAUGAACCAAACGUCGAGUUAAGGCGCCUAAAUCGUCGCUCAUGUGAAACCAUGAAAGGCGUUGGUUGCUUAAGACAGCAGGACGGUGGCCAUGGAAGUCGGAAUCCGCUAAGGAGUGUGUAACAACUCACCUGCCGAAGCAACUAGCCCUGAAAAUGGAUGGCGCUGUAGCGACGAUGCCUAUACUCGACCGUCAACGGCAAAGCUGGCCGAAUGGGUAACUGUUUGGCCGUUAAGCCUUGACGAGUAGGAGGGCCGCGGCGACGUGCGCAGAAGGGUCUGGGCGCGAGCCUGCCUGGAGCCGUCGUCGGUGCAGAUCUUGGUGGUAGUAGCAAAUACUCCAGCGAGGCCCUGGAGGACUGAUGUGGAGAAGGGUUUCUUGUGAACAGCUGUUGCACAAGAGUCAGUCGGUCCUAAGCCCUAGGAGAAAUCCGAAGCGAUGGGUUGCCGUUAACUUUGUGUGAAGGCACCCUUCCGGGCGAAAGGGAAUCCGGUUCCUAUUCCGGAACCUGGCAGUGGAACCGUUCCAAUUCGGGCCCUCUGAGGACUCGUCAGGGCAACCUGAGUAGACCCGGAGACGCCGGCGGGAGGUUGGGGGAGAGUUGUCUCUUCUCUAUAAGCGAUCGAGUUCCCUGGAAACUUCUAGCAAGGAGAUAGGGUUUGGAUCGCGAAGAGCACUGCAGUUACGGCAGUGUCCCAAUCUUCCCCCCGGACCUUGAAAAUCCGGGUGAGGGCCACGAGGAACCCCACGCCAGACCGUACCCAUAUCCGCAGCAGGUCUCCAAGGUGCAAAGCCUCUAGUCGAUAGAAUAAUGUAGGUAAGGGAAGUCGGCAAAACCGAUCCGUAACUUCGGGAUAAGGAUUGGCUCUGAGGAUCGUGGCGCGCCGGGCUUGAGUUAAGAAGCGGUGGUGUCAACGAGCCGGGCCUGGGCGAGGAGAAGGGGGCGCCUGCAAGGGCGAUUCCCUGGAACCGAGCUCGGUCCCGUGCCUUGACCAUCCGUGGACUUCUCUUGCUGCGAGCCGGCAGC